GUGUGUGUAGUUUAUGACAGUGCUCUUGCCGAGACUCGGUGAUUGCUCAAUCUCAAAGUAAAUGCCCUGAUACACUAGAA